GAGCAAAAGGAAGGGUAUUCAGGUAAUUCAUGAUGCAGCAGAAGAGAUCAUGACAGAAACCUUGUAUGGUGAUAGCAUUAGGCUUCAACAGGUGUUGGCUGACUUCUUAUCAGUGUCGCUUAACUAUACACCAACUGGAGGCCAGUUUACUGUUGCAGCAAGUUUGACCAAAGAUCAGUUAGGGCAAUCUGUUCAUCUUGUGCAUCUGGAA
rnacentral:misc_RNA from 1 species